rfam:Desulfosporosinus orientis DSM 765, complete genome.
GGGCGAGUGGCGGAAUGGCAGACGCGUCGGUCUCAAAAACCGAUAUAUGUGAGUAUGUGUGGGUUCAAGUCCCACCUCGCCCA